rnacentral:rRNA from 1 species
UACGUAGGGUGCGAGCGUUGUCCGGAAUUAUUGGGCGUAAAGGGCUCGUAGGCGGUUUGUCGCGUCGGGAGUGAAAUCAUCUGGCUUAACUGGGUGCUUGCUUUCGAUACGGGCAGACUAGAGGUAUGCAGGGAGAACGGAAUUCCUGGUGUAGCGGUGAAAUGCGCAGAUAUCAGGAGGAACACCGGUGGCGAAGGCGGUCUCUGGGCAUGAUCUGACGCUGAGGAGCGAAAGUGUGGGAGCGAACAGG